rnacentral:rRNA from 1 species
GUCUACGGCCACGUCACCCUGAACAAGCCCGAUCCUGUCAGAUCUUGGAAGCAGGGAUGAGCCUGGUUAGUACUUGGAUGGGAGAUCACCUA